GAUGAACGCUAGCGACAGGCCUAACACAUGCAAGUCGAGGGGCAGCACAUGAGUAGCAAUACGAUGGUGGCGACCGGCGCACGGGUGAGUAACACGUAUGCAACCUACCUUCUACCAGGGGAUAACCCGUUGAAAGACGGACUAAUACCCUAUAAUACAGGGGCUCCGCAUGGAGAUAUUUGUUAAAGAUUCAUCAGUAGAAGAUGGGCAUGCGCAUGAUUAGCUAGUUGGCGGGUAACGGCCCACCAAGGCAUCGAUCAUUAGGGGUUCUGAGAGGAAGGUCCCCCAACUGGUACUGAGACACGGACCAGACUCCUACGGGAGGCAGCAGUGAGGAAUAUUGGUCAAUGGGCGAGAGCCUGAACCAGCCAAGUCGCGUGAAGGAAGACUGUCCUAUGGAUUGUAAACUUCUUUUGUACGGGAAUAAAGUGGGCUACGUGUAGCCUUUUGUAUGUACCGUACGAAUAAGGAUCGGCUAACUCCGUGCC
rnacentral:rRNA from 1 species